rnacentral:rRNA from 1 species
UACGUAGGGAGCAAGCGUUGUCCGGAAUCAUUGGGCGUAAAGCGCGCGUAGGUGGUCAUGUAAGUCCGCUGUGAAAGUCAAAGGCUCAACCUUUGAAAGCCGGUGGAUACUGCAUGACUAGAGUACGGAAGAGGCGAGUGGAAUUCCUGGUGUAGCGGUGGAAUGUGCAGAUAUCAGGAGGAACACCAAUAGCGAAGGCAGCUCGCUGGGACGUUACUGACACUGAGGCGCGAAAGCGUGGGGAGCGAACAGG